AGCGAACGCUGGCGGCAGGCCUAAAACAUGCAAGUCGAACGCCGUAGCAAUACGGAGUGGCAGACGGGUGAGUAACACGUGGGAACAUACCCUUUGGUUCGGAACAACACAGGGAAACUUGUGCUAAUACCGGAUAAGCCCUUACGGGGAAAGAUUUAUCGCCAAAGGAUUGGCCCGCGUCUGAUUAGCUAGUUGGUGGGGUAACGGCCCACCAAGGCUACGAUCAGUAGCUGGUCUGAGAGGAUGAUCAGCCACACUGGGACUGAGACACGGCCCAGACUCCUACGGGAGGCAGCAGUUAGGAAUCUUGGACAAUGGGCGCAAGCCUGAUCCAGCCAUGCCGCGUGAGUGAUGAAGGCCUUAGGGUUGUAAAGCUCUUUCAGCGGGAAGAUAAUGACGGUACCCGCAGAAGAAGCCCCGGCUAACUUCGUGCCAGCCGCCGCGGUAAC
rnacentral:rRNA from 1 species